rnacentral:rRNA from 1 species
AUGAACGCUGGCGGCGUGCCUAAUACAUGCAAGUCGAGCGAACAGACGAGGAGCUUGCUCCUCUGACGUUAGCGGCGGACGAGUGAGUAACACGUGGAUAACCUACCUAUAAGACUGGGAUAACUUCGGGAAACCGGAGCUAAUACCGGAUAAUAUAUUGAACCGCAUGGUUCAAUAGUGAAAGACGGUUUUGCUGUCACUUAUAGAUGGAUCCGCGCCGCAUUAGCUAGUUGGUAAGGUAACGGCUUACCAAGGCGACGAUGCGUAGCCGACCUGAGAGGGUGAUCGGCCACACUGGAACUGAGACACGGUCCAGACUCCUACGGGAGGCAGCAGUAGGGAAUCUUCCGCAAUGGGCGAAAGCCUGACGGAGCAACGCCGCGUGAGUGAUGAAGGUCUUCGGAUCGUAAAACUCUGUUAUUAGGGAAGAACAAAUGUGUAAGUAACUAUGCACGUCUUGACGGUACCUAAUCAGAAAGCCACGGCUAACUACGUG